UGGGGAAUAUUGCACAAUGGGCGCAAGCCUGAUGCAGCCAUGCCGCGUGUAUGAAGAAGGCCUUCGGGUUGUAAAGUACUUUCAGUCGGGAGGAAGGUGUCAAGGUUAAUAACCUUGGCAAUUGACGUUACCGACAGAAGAAGCACCGGCUAACUCCGUGCCAGCAGCCGCGGUAAUACGGAGGGUGCAAGCGUUAAUCGGAAUUACUGGGCGUAAAGCGCACGCAGGCGGUUGAUUGAGUCAGAUGUGAAAUCCCCGGGCUCAACCGGGGAGGGUCAUUGGAAACUGGGAGACUUGAGUGCAGAAGAGGAGAGUGGAAUUCCAGGUGUAGCGGUGAAAUGCGUAGAUAUAUGGAGGAACACCAGUGGCGAAGGCGGCUCUCUGGUCUGUAACUGACGCUGAGGCUCGAAAGCGUGGGGAGCAAACAGG
rnacentral:rRNA from 1 species